rnacentral:piRNA from 1 species
UGGGAUACCAAAAUAGAUCUUGGCACACUGC